GCCUGGGUGGCUCGGUAGGUUAAGCGUCUGACUUCGGGUCAGGUCAUGAUCUCACAGUUCGUGGUUUCAAGCCCCGCCUUGGGCU
rnacentral:tRNA from 1 species